CUUUAUAAAGUGAUUUAUAAUAUGACAUUUAUGAUUAUAAGCACAAAGUCCUAUAAAUCGAUAACGAAUAGUUUUUGUUACACCCCAAUUGUACGUGUAAUUUCGUUUUCCCCCAAAAUAUUUAUGGAGCUAUCAAUUUAGUCCUUAUUCCUUUACCCAAUCAGGAUUUGAAAUGGGAUUCUCUCUAUCCCCAAGCUGCCACGCGACAGCACCCCAGCUCUCCUCACUUCUCUCUUUCUGUCCCACACCUCGUGACCCUCUUUCCUCUCUCUCUUUCUCUGCACCCCCUUCUCUCUCUCAAAAACCCUCUCAUCUCUCUCCCUCUCUUUCACCGUGAUCACACACACACACAACUGCACCACCUGCUCGAGGAAAAACACCACCAUCAUCACCAUCAAAACCUCAUCAGUCUUCUCUCUCCCCAGUCACAGUGAGGACGACGAAACCCAGAAAACUCUCCGCGAGUUUCCUUCAUUUUUCCGAUUAGGUAAGCCUCGAGUUCCUUCUAUCCGUGUUAGAUUGAUGCCUGGAUGUGAUUUUUUUAGUGUUAUCUCGUUAUUUUCCAAGGUUUUAGAAUGAGAUCGGCUCGGGUGAAGGCACACCUAUCUACGGCAAACCCGUGAGUGUCGAGGAGUUUUUCGACCACCACUGGCCGUUUCACGACGAACCAAAGGUGCAAUUAAUAGUGGAGAUUCCGUUAUUCUUUUUUGGUACGGCUUUGCACCAACAGUGUACGGUGAGUAGACCCCUUCUAAAAAUGCAUGUUUUGAUAGUAGAAAUGCAUACAUGAAAAACAUGAUUUGAUGACUAUGUUUUAUAAUACGUUUAUGAGAUAACAUGUUUACUAAAGCUAGUUUGAAUUAUUACUAUUUUUCUUAUAACCUAUGUUCUUAUAGAAUAUUCAAUGGAUGAUGAUAUGAUAUUUAGAACAUGUUUAGAACACAUCUUUAUAGUAUAGAUGAUGGAUGACUUUAUACUAUGAAGUUGUUUUUCAAUAUAUGUAUGUUCAAUGGUUUUGCACUUACCUAGUGGUCUUUAUUCCGCUACGGGGCGUAUGGAUAGAUUCCGGUCCAUCCCGAGCGACGGUUUGGUGUUGACAUAGGGCCUGGACUACGUUGCAUGGACACGGACACGGACACGAGGAUACGACACGAUACGACACAGAGAUACGUCAAAUUUCUAAAAACUAAGACACGAUACGGCAUGGAUACGGCAAUUUAUAUAAUAAAUAUAUAUUUAAAACAUAUAUUUUAAAUAACAAUGAAAAAAUUAAUUACUCAAAAUUUAAUUUAUAUUGUUCAAACUCUCAAAAAAUAAAGGAUGGUAGUGAUGUAAAUUCAGUGGGCUAUGUAGUUUUGGGCUUUAGUCUCAUUUAAACCCUUUAAAGAAAUAAAAAUAAAAGAAAUUGUGGUGUCAUUUUUUACUACAGAAAACAGCAUGUCGACCUAGCAGUCAUCUUCUUCGUGAAGCCUCCUCCACCAGAUCGGGUCGUCUUCGUGCGACGCCUUCCUCCGUCAAAUUGCGUCAUCUUCUUCAUGAGGCGUCCUUCCACCAGAUUGCGUCAUCUCCGUCAUGAGGUUUUCUUCCACGAAAUUGUGUCAAAGGCCAUGGUGCAGAUAUCUGUAUCUAGACAGUCGGAUACCCGUAUCUAAACAGUCGGAUACCCGUAUCCAUCUGUCAAAUGUCGUAUCUAUUGAUCCAGAUACGUAUCCAAUGCGUAUCCGACCGUAUCAGAGGCGUAUCGUGUUCAUUUGUGUAUCCGACACGCGAUACGCGGGCGAUGUGCCAUGUCUGUGCAUCGUAGGGCCUGGAGUGUGUUUCCUCUGGCUAUUAGCACAGGAACGGGGAGCCGGCAUGGGGCCUGAAGUGUAUUUUUCUCUGACUAUCUGUUCAGAGACAGGGAGCCGGCAUGGGGCCUGGGGGUUAUCGAACAUUCAUUAGUGAUUAUUUUAUAUAUAUAUAUAUAUAUACAAGUUAUGAUUUGAGACAUUGCACGGUAUGCUAGGUUUCAGAAAUAUAUGUGUUUUCAUAAAACUUGGGGGUUAUUACGUUGAUAAUUGUUUUAGUAUAUAUAUCAAUUUGGUCCACUUAUGUUUGUUUUGCGCCCCCUUCAAGACCUAGGAACAAGGAUUACGAUCUGAGCUACUAGGCAUUCCCUACCAGUGAUAUCUUGUUAUAUUCUCUGCUUUGGCAUCUAUUGUAAUAGCACUUUUCUAUCUCAAAUUUCCGCUUGUACUCUGUAAUAGACGUAUGCUCUGAACAUGUCAUGCAUUUUCUAAAUGUUAAAUUGUUAGCUAUUGAACUUUA